rnacentral:rRNA from 1 species
GACGAACGCUGGCGGCGUGCCUAAUACAUGCAAGUAGAACGCUGACUACUUUAGCUUGCUAGAGUAGAAGGAGUUGCGAACGGGUGAGUAACGCGUAGGUAACCUGCCUACUAGCGGGGGAUAACGUCUGGAAACGGACGCUAAUACCGCAUAACAUAUUGUUUUCGCAUGGAGAUGAUAUCAAAGGAGCAAUCCGCUUUAAGAUGGACUCGCGUCCAAUUAGCUAGUUGGUGGGGUAACGGCCCACCAAGGCGACGAUUGGUAGCCGGACUGAGAGGUUGAACGGCCACAUUGGGACUGAGACACGGCCCAG